GACGAACCGUGCAAACGUUGUUCGGAAUCACUGGGCUUAAAGGGCGCGUAGGCGGGCAAGCAAGUCGAAGGUGAAAUCCCACGGCUCAACCGUGGAAGUGCCCCCGAUACUGCUUGUCUUGAGGGAGAUAGGGGCGUGCGGAACUUCCGGUGGAGCGGUGAAAUGCGUAGAUAUCGGAAGGAACACCGGUGGCGAAGGCGGGUCUCUGGGCAACAACUGACGCUGAGGAGCGAAAGCGUGGGGAGCAAACAGG
rnacentral:rRNA from 1 species